rnacentral:lncRNA from 1 species
AAAUGAAAGCUCUAGUGUUAUCUUUACUCAUCUUUUAUUUUUUACUUCUCUUUCUCCAUGUGUGUGUUGUGUGUUUAUCCGACUGCACACAUGUGUGUACACAUAUGUGUGUGUGUGUGCAUGCAUGCAUGCACAUAUGUGUUUGAGUGUUCAACCGGCAUGAAUGUAUGUGAACCAUGCAUAUACCUGGGUCCCACAGAGGCCAGAAGAUGUCAAACCUCUAGAAUUGGAGUUCCAGAUGGUUAUAGUCAUCUUGUACGUUCUGGGAUUCAAACCCAGGUCCUAUGAAGCUCUAAGAGAGCAGGCAGUGUUCUUAACCACUGAACCAUUUCUCUAUCGAUUCUUUCAUUCCCUGUGUGUGUGUGUGUGUGUGUGUGUGUCUUGCAAAGCGAGAGUACUACCAAUGAAUGAGUUUCUUCAAUAUGUUUAAGAUGUAGCCCAGGCUGGCCUUAGACUCACUACGUGGUCUAAGAUGACCUCAUCUUCCAGGUCUUGUGAUCACAGGCAUCCAUCAUCACACCAGCUUUCUCUUUUAUUUUUAUUUUAUUAUUUAUUUUAUUAUUAUUGAAUGUUUGAGACAAGGUCUCACUAUGUAGCUCUGGCUGUCCCGGAACUCCCUACAUAGACCAGGUAACCUUAACCUCACAGAGCUCUACAGACCUCUACCUCCUGAUUGCUGGGACUGCAGGCGUGUACCACCAUGCCCAGCUUUUUCUUUUACUUUUGAAGCAGUUCACAGCAUACAGAAUGUUUUUCAGCCACCCUUUAAAUAUUUCACUCCCUUGCCCUCUUCUUGCUUCGGAGGAGACAGAGGUAUAAUUCCAGUCGUUCUCCUGUAUAAAUAAAGUUGCUUUCCCUCCCUGGCUUCUUGAAGGAUUUUAAAAACCCAACAAUUCCUGAUGUUCUAAACUCUAAAGGCUACGAUGCCCAGGUGUAGUUUUUCUGCUUGUUUGGGUUUAUCCACUUCCUGCCCCCUGAGCUUCCCAGAUGUGUAAUUUUGUGUCUGACAUCAAUUUGGGGGAAUUUCUCAGUCAUAACUGCUCUGCUCCUUUCAUUAUUCUCGGGGCGGGUGUGCCUGUUGCCUGUGUGUCACAGCCUUUGAAACAUCUGUAUACUCCUGGAUACUCUGCUCUGGGCUUCUCUGCAGUACUCCCCUUCCCUCAUUUGCUUCUCAGUUUGGGAUCUUUUGACUUAGAGAGAUCCUCAAGCACGGAGCUCCUUCCAUUCUCUGUGUUCAGUCCGCUAAUGAGCCCAUCAAAGACAUUCUUCGCUUGUUACAAUGUUACAAUCCUUUUGGUUUCCACUACUUAUUUUAGUUCUUAGGAUUCUCACCUCUGCCUAAAUUGCCCAUCUAGUCCUGCAGCGUCUAUUUUGUCUACUAUGCGCCUUAGCAUAUUUGAAAUGGCUUAUUUAGUUACUGUCUUUUCUUUUGAGACUGAGUCUUACUCUGUAGCCCAGGCUGGCCUUAAAGACUCCAUGUAGUCCAAGCUAGCACUGGGCUUACUUUGCCUUGUCACCAUGUGCUUUUGCCCUUUCGUAUUUAUCAUAAUUAUUUUUAAUCAAUGUACUGGGUUAAAAGGACUGCUAUCAGGUCAUGAGGUAGCAUGGCAUGAGGUUGGAAAGCGUUCUACAGUUCCAUGACUGGGACUUAGUCUUGAAUGUCUUGUGUGCUUCUGAGCUCCCCUGCCCCUUGGGCAGGGGGAGAUGGCUACAGCAGGCUGCAGUUGGGUAUUUCCCUGUCAUGGGCUAGUCAGGCUCUAACAAAACCUCAGCUGCUGUACUCUGGCUAGACCUGUUUCCCAAAGGCAGGCUUGCUAAGACCACUCCCCUUGUGGUAUUUUGAAAUAUUUCUUUCCCUUCCCCCACAGAGGCUCAAGGAGAUUUUCUCUGGUCCACAGGGUGCUGGCUUUGUUGAGCUUCAAGAGUGGACUCAGUUUCCCCUGAGUCUUUCAUGCUCUGACUUGCUCACAUAGAACUUCCAGCAGCUUGUCAAUUAUAGCUCAGGUUUUCCUAUCCUGGUUCUUGCACAGAUAUGAGCUUGGCGGUUUUCUUUUCUUUCUCCAAUUUUGGGGUGGUGUGGGGGAGUGGCUUGCUGAUGACUUCAUAUCUCCUAGAAGGAGACUCUGACUUUCAUUUGCUUAGUUUGCUGCUUACACAGAGUGGCAAUCCCAGGAUGUCUAUACUCUAGACUGGAUGUUUUCCUUUGCUUUGCUUUAGCUGAAAUGAAUGUAGGCAAGUGGACUCUCGAGCUUUGAAGGAGCUCUUCUGAAACCCAAGAGGUCCGAAUUUGAGCAGGAUUUAUUGAUUGGCCCGUUACACAAGUCUUAUCUCAACUUUCAGAAACUGGUUUAACUUCAACUUGACCCAGAGUUUGGAACUGAAUAGGUUAUAUUCUGAGUGAGGGCCUGGUGUGGGUCCUGGACAAUCUGAUUACAUCUUAUCUGGAAGCUGGCCUGGAGGGCUCCGGUCGCUUGUCUUUUAUCUUCUUAUUCCUGGAUCCAUCCACUUUCCCCACAUAUGCCAUUUAAUCUUUGAAACACUCUCUCCUGCAACUCUACCUGUGUGCUCCAGCUUGGCCUGGCUCCUCCCUGGGUCAGCUGCCCAGCUGGGUACUCUGGAGCUGCUGUGCCCUGAGAUAUUUGGUUUGACACAAUCAUUUUCAGAUGCCACAUGCUCUUUCUUGUUUUGGUCCAUUGCUCAUUUAAGCACAUCUUCACAUACUUCUUCAGAGGGAAAAAACAAAUGAGAAUUAGGUAUGCUGGUGUAUGUCUGAAAUUCUAGAACUAGAGAGGCUGAGGCAGGAGGAUUGUGAGUUUGAGAUCAGGGGGGGCUACAUGGGGAGACUCUGUUUCAAAAGUAGAUACAAAAAUAUUUUAGAGGGCUGAAGGGAUGGCUCAGUGGCAAAGAGCAUUUAUUGCUGCUGCAGAGGGUAUGGGUUCUAUUGCCAGGACCCACAUGGUGGCUCACAGCCAUCCAUAACUCCAGUUUCAGAGGCAUCUUAUUCUGGUCUCCAUGAGCACCUGUACACAUGUGCCUAAACCCCACAGGGCUAUAUACGUACAAUUAAAAAUAAUAGAAAACAAAACUUUUUAAAGGUCUGCAGUUUUAGAACUACUAAGAUUGCCCAACUCCCACCUUAAUCUAUAGAUUAUCUGAUUAUAGACACAACAAUACAUUUCCUAUUGUUUUCUUUCAUCUGCUUGAUGUGGACAUCAGUGACUCUUCCUCCAAUCAAAGUCAUUGUGAAACCAUUGUCAGAUGAUCCUGGGAGGGCAGGGAAAGGGGAUAUUAUAGCCAUGGAUGCUGUGAAAGGAUAACAUGGGAAUGGGCUACACCUUGGUAUGCUCCAGGCCAGAAAGAUGGAGGGUCCAAGAGAUGUCUUGAGGCAAAGGUUAGAACUGAGAUUACUAGAGAGAGUUUGGCCCAUGGGAUCUACAGUC